rnacentral:rRNA from 1 species
AUUCCAGCUCCAAUAGCGUAUAUUAAAGUUGUUGCAGUUAAAAAGCUCGUAGUUGGAUUUCUGGGCUGAGCGACCGGUCCGCCGCUGUGCGGUGUGUACUCGUGUUCGACUCGGCUCAUCCUUGUGGGGAAACGCAUUUCGGCAUUAGGUUGUCGAGGCGGGGAACCGCAUCGUUUACUGUGAAAAAAUUAGAGUGUUUAAAGCAGGCAAAUUGCUGUGAAUACAUUAGCAUGGAAUAAUAACAUAGGACUUUGGUUCUAUUUUGUUGGUUGGAGGCCAAGGUAAUGAUUAAUAGGGAUAGUUGGGGGUAUUCAUAUUUAAUUGUCAGAGGUGAAAUUCUUGGAUUUAUGAAAGAUGAACUCAUGCGAAAGCAUUUACCAAGGAUGUUUUCAUCA